GAGUGAACGCUGGCGGUAGGCCUAACACAUGCAAGUCGAACGGCUGCACAGUAAGAGCUUGCUCUUACGGGUGGCGCGUGGCGGACGGGUGAGGAAUACAUCGGAAUCUACUUUUUCGUGGGGGAUAACGUAGGGAAACUUACGCUAAUACCGCAUACGACCUACGGGUGAAAGCAGGGGAUCUUCGGACCUUGCGCGAUUGAAUGAGCCGAUGUCGGAUUAGCUAGUUGGCGGGGUAAAGGCCCACCAAGGCGACGAUCCGUAGCUGGUCUGAGAGGAUGAUCAGCCACACUGGAACUGAGACACGGUCCAGACUCCUACGGGAGGCAGCAGUGGGGAAUAUUGGACAAUGGGCGCAAGCCUGAUCCAGCCAUACCGCGUGAGUGAAGAAGGCCUUCGGGUUGUAAAGCCCUUUUGUUGGGAAAGAAAAGCAGCAGGUUUAUACCCCGCUGUUCUGACGGUACCCAAAGAAUAAGCACCGGCUAACUUCGUG
rnacentral:rRNA from 1 species